rnacentral:rRNA from 1 species
AGAGUUUGAUCCUGGCUCAGGACGAACGCUGGCGGCGCGCCUAACACAUGCAAGUCGAACGAGCGAGAGAGAGCUUGCUUUCUCAAGCGAGUGGCGAACGGGUGAGUAACGCGUGAGGAACCUGCCUCAAAGAGGGGGACAACAGUUGGAAACGACUGCUAAUACCGCAUAAGCCCACGACCCGGCAUCGGGUAGAGGGAAAAGGAGCAAUCCGCUUUGAGAUGGCCUCGCGUCCGAUUAGCUAGUUGGUGAGGUAACGGCCCACCAAGGCGACGAUCGGUAGCCGGACUGAGAGGUUGAACGGCCACAUUGGGACUGAGACACGGCCCAGACUCCUACGGGAGGCAGCAGUGGGGAAUAUUGCACAAUGGGGGAAACCCUGAUGCAGCGACGCCGCGUGGAGGAAGAAGGUCUUCGGAUUGUAAACUCCUGUUGUUGAGGAAGAUAAUGACGGUACUCAACAAGGAAGUGACGGCUAACUACGUGCCAGCAGCCGCGGUAAAACGUAGGUCACAAGCGUUGUCCGGAAUUACUGGGUGUAAAGGGAGCGCAGGCGGGAAGACAAGUUGGAAGUGAAAUCCAUGGGCUCAACCCAUGAACUGCUUUCAAAACUGUUUUUCUUGAGUAGUGCAGAGGUAGGCGGAAUUCCCGGUGUAGCGGUGGAAUGCGUAGAUAUCGGGAGGAACACCAGUGGCGAAGGCGGCCUACUGGGCACCAACUGACGCUGAGGCUCGAAAGUGUGGGUAGCAAACAGGAUUAGAUACCCUGGUAGUCCACACUGUAAACGAUGAUUACUAGGUGUUGGAGGAUUGACCCCUUCAGUGCCGCAGUUAACACAAUAAGUAAUCCACCUGGGGAGUACGACCGCAAGGUUGAAACUCAAAGGAAUUGACGGGGGCCCGCACAAGCAGUGGAGUAUGUGGUUUAAUUCGACGCAACGCGAAGAACCUUACCAAGUCUUGACAUCCUGCGACGCACAUAGAAAUAUGUGUUUCCUUCGGGACGCAGAGACAGGUGGUGCAUGGUUGUCGUCAGCUCGUGUCGUGAGAUGUUGGGUUAAGUC